AUUCUUGUGCAGAGGCAAUAUCGUAGUCCAUGAAGUUCUACUGAGACGUGAUUAUUGCUGGUUGAAAACUUAACCCAAUUCCUGCCUAGAUGACUUGAAAUAUAGUCAGCAACGGCAAUUUUUGAUAGUCUCUCAGGAGA
ensembl:snRNA U4 U4 spliceosomal RNA